rnacentral:rRNA from 1 species
GAUGAACGCUGGCGGCGUGCCUAACACAUGCAAGUCGAACGGAGUUAUAUGAAGUUUUCGGACGGAAUAUAACUUAGUGGCGGACGGGUGAGUAACGCGUGGGUAACCUGCCUCAUACAGGGGGAUAACAGUUGGAAACGGCUGCUCAAACCGCAUAAGCAUAAAUUGCCGCAUGGCAGAGUGUGAAAAUAUUUAUAGGUAUGAGAUGGGCCCGCGUCUGAUUAGCUAGUUGGUGGGGUAAAGGCCUACCAAGGCGACGAUCAGUAGCCGGCUUGAGAGAGUGACCGGCCACAUUGGGACGGAUACACGGCCCAAACUCUUACGGGAGGCAGCAGGGGGGAAUAUUGCACAAUGGGGGAAACCCUGAUGCAGCGACGCCGCGUGAGUGAAGAAGUAUUUCGGUAUGUAAAGCGCUAUCAGCAGGGAAGAAAAUGACGGUACCUGACUAAGAAGCCCCGGCUAACUACGUGCCAGCCGCCGCCGUAA